GAUGAACGCUGGCGGCGUGCCUAAUACAUGCAAGUCGAGCGAACAGACGAGGAGCUUGCUCCUCUGACGUUAGCGGCGGACGGGUGAGUAACACGUGGAUAACCUACCUAUAAGACUGGGAUAACUUCGGGAAACCGGAGCUAAUACCGGAUAAUAUAUUGAACCGCAUGGUUCUAUAGUGAAAGACGGUUUUGCUGUCACUUAUAGAUGGAUCCGCGCCGCAUUAGCUAGUUGGUAAGGUAACGGCUUACCAAGGCAACGAUGCGUAGCCGACCUGAGAGGGUGAUCGGCCACACUGGAACUGAGACACGGUCCAGACUCCUACGGGAGGCAGCAGUAGGGAAUCUUCCGCAAUGGGCGAAAGCCUGACAGAGCAACGCCGCGUGAGUGAUGAAGGUCUUCGGAUCGUAAAACUCUGUUAUUAGGGAAGAACAAAUGUGUAAGUAACUAUGCACGUCUUGACGGUACCUAAUCAGAAAGCCACGGCUAACUACGUG
rnacentral:rRNA from 1 species